GGCUCGUUGGUAUAAGGGUAUGAUUCUCGCUUUGGGUGCGAGAGGCCUCGGGUUCAAAUCCCGGACGAGCCC
rnacentral:tRNA from 1 species